GGAUAUGAAGGCGAUCUGGCUGUGAUAUCUGUCACCUCAUUGAUCGCCAGAGUUGAUUUGGCUGAUCUGGCUGGCUAGGCGGGUGUCCCCUUCCUCCCUCACCGCUCCGUGUGCCUGCCUCCCGAAGCUGCGUGCUCCCCGCAGAGAGGAAGGAGGACUGCAGCAUAGAGGAGGACAAGGGUAUAUUAUGAGUAGCUGCACUCACCUGCUAGAACCUCCAAACAAGCUCUCAAGGUCCAAAAUAUUGAUGCGUUUCCAUAGAUCCGUAAGAAAACAAUAAAACAACCCAAUAGAAAAAUGGGCCUGUUG
rnacentral:snRNA from 1 species